rnacentral:rRNA from 1 species
GACGAACGCUGGCGGCGUGCCUAAUACAUGCAAGUCGAGCGGACGGAUGGGAUCUUGCUCCCGGACCGUCAGCGGCGGACGGGGGAGUAACACGUGGGCAACCUGCCUGUAAGACUGGGAUAACUCCGGGAAACCGGGGCUAAUACCGGAAAACUCUUUCGCACACCUGAGGGAAAGCUGAAAGAUGGCAUCUCGCUAUCACUUACAGAUGGGCCCGCGGCGCAUUAGCUAGUUGGUGAGGUAACGGCUCACCAAGGCGGCGAUGCGUAGCCGACCUGAGAGGGUGAUCGGCCACACUGGGACUGAGACACGGCCCAGACUCCUACGGGAGGCAGCAGUAGGGAAUCUUCCGCAAUGGACGAAAGUCUGACGGAGCAACGCCGCGUGAGUGAUGAAGGUUUUCGGAUCGUAAAACUCUGUUGUCAGGGAAGAACAAGUACCGGAGUAACUGCCGGUACCUUGACGGUACCUGACCAGAAAGCCACGGCUAACUACGUG